rnacentral:rRNA from 1 species
GACGAACGCUGGCGGCGUGCUUAACACAUGCAAGUCGAACGGAAAGGCCCUGCUUUUGUGGGGUGCUCGAGUGGCGAACGGGUGAGUAACACUUGAGUAACCUGCCCUUGACUUUGGGAUAACUUCAGGAAACUGGGGCUAAUACCGGGUAGGAGCUCCUGCUGCAUGGUGGGGGUUGGAAAGUUUCGGCGGUUGGGGAUGGACUCGCGGCUUAUCAGCUUGUUGGUGGGGUAGUGGCUUACCAAGGCUUUGACGGGUAGCCGGCCUGCGAGGGUGACCGGCCACAUUGGGACUGAGAUACGGCCCAGACUCCUACGGGAGGCAGCAGUGGGGAAGAUUGCACAAUGGGCGGAAGCCUGAUGCAGCAACGCCGCGUGCGGGGUGACGGCCUUCGGGUUGUAAACCGCUUUCGCCUGUGACGAAGCGUGAGUGACGGUAAUGGGUAAAGAAGCACCGGCUAACUACGUG